UAAUACGGAGGAUCCGAGCGUUAUCCGGAUUUAUUGGGUUUAAAGGGUGCGUAGGCGGAAUAAUAAGUCAGUUGUGAAAGUUUGCGGCUCAACCGUAAAAUUGCAGUUGAUACUGUUAUUCUUGAGUGUACAUAAGGUAGGCGGAAUUCGUGGUGUAGCGGUGAAAUGCUUAGAUAUCACGAAGAACUCCAAUUGCGAAGGCAGCUUACCGGGGUACAACUGACGCUGAGGCACGAAAGUGUGGGUAUCAAACAGGAUUAGAUACCCUGGUAGUCCACACAGUAAACGAUGAAUACUCGCUGUUUGCGAUAUACAGUAAGCGGCCAAGCGAAAGCAUUAAGUAUUCCACCUGGGGAGUACGCCGGCAACGGUGAAACUCAAAUGAAUUGACGG
rnacentral:rRNA from 1 species